rnacentral:rRNA from 1 species
GCAAGUCGAACGGUAACAGAAAGAGCUUGCUCUUUGCUGACGAGUGGCGCACGGGUGCGUAACGCGUAUGUAACCUACCCAUAACUGGGGAAUAGCUCAGAGAAAUCUGAAUUAAUACCCCAUAAUAAUUACUUUUCGCAUGAUUAGUAAUUUAAAGCUUCGGCGGUUAUGGAUGGACAUGCGUGACAUUAGCUAGUUGGUAAGGUAAUAGCUUACCAAGGCUACGAUGUCUAGGGGGUCUGAGAGGAUGGUC